UCCUAUAUCCAAGUAUCCCUUCUAAAACAGCUCUUCCUACUCUUUCAUCAUCGUUACACCUCUCCUGCACUGUGCUUUGCUGUCCCAGUCAGUGUUUCAUUGCCAGGGAACUGCCUGCACUUCACAGAGAUACAGCAGAUGUCACCCAUUCAUGGUGGAGCUGCAGGUUCCUGUCCUAUCUCGCAGAGCUUUGCUCUGGGGCUGGAUGAGAGACUGCUUUUCAAUCACUCUUCAUUGUUUGGACCAGAUAAUCCACCACAGUUGAAGCCACAACUCUUCCCUGUUUGUGCUGCCUGUCCCACCUGUGGUGUGAAGGGAAACCUGCUUUAUCAACAAGAGUAAUGUCUUAAACUGGGUCCAUCCAGAUAAAAAGCUCUAAUACUCUUGAAUAGAAUACACUGAUUUAAAUCCUAAACUUCCUUCAGCAACCUCAGCCUCAUCCUGCACUUAGGCAAAACCAAAAUAACUGUACAGCAAAAAUUCAGGCUACUGAAGGAUGACAAAUGUUGGAGGAAAAGUGAGAAAUUAUUUUCAGAGGUGGGGAAGCUGAAGGCAGACGCCUCCUGAUGUGAGACUGGGCAAAUUGGGAAACAUGGAGGCUGGAACAGUCUCCAGAGUGUUUGGUUCUUUCUGCUGCUCAUUUGCAGUUCAGGGUGAGCACCUGAAGAAUGCAGCCUUGUCACAGGAGAACACGUCCUGGAGCACCACACAGAUAUAAAAGAGAGAAACAACAACACAUCUUUAAUUAAUGAGAGAUUCUGUCCCUGUGGGUCCAUCUCUCGUGUCUCAGAUGAUGCAUCAAACUUAGUCUGUCCUGCCCUGCCAUGCAGCCAGCCAGGCCUCUGGCAAGAGAUUAUCCCCUGGAUGUCAAACAGCAGCUCAGGCCCCAGAAAUCACAUCAGCCCAAGGAUAAACAGCAUAUCAACAAAACCAUUAACUGCAGCAGUAACAAACACAUUCACUCCCCGUCCUUUGCUCCCCCUUCCUGAGCCAUUAGACCCCAUUUUCAAACACUUCUGGAAAUAGGUUGAAUGGAAAUAGACCCUGGGAUUCCCUCCUGGCCAGGGCUGUGCGAGGUAUCACAGGAGCCCUGAUGAAAUGACAAGCACUGAAAUACAAGAACAGAUUUCUGUUCUUUUGUGAAGAAAUUGAUUUUUGCCAGAAACAACAUGCUGCAACCCAGCGUCUAUUCUUGUUAGACUUCAAGUCCUUCCAGGAGGAGUCCUUCAGCAAAUUGGCUCAUUUAGACACAACAGCCAGGAGCAU